AAAUGGCCCCACCUUAGGGUGGGGGCAGUGUUGGGGUACCUCCUUGCCACAGUUUUCUUUGGUCUCGGGGUCAAGCUGGCAGGCUCCAACCCGCUAGCUGGUCUCCAAACAGACCCUGGCGGAUGUGGAAUCAAGGCCAGGGCUCCCCCGCCACCCCCGCUCCCUGCUCCCACGUCUUCUUUCCUCUUUUUCUGGAUGGAAAUGACAAGUGGCGGGGAGGGAUGCAGGGGGGUGGGGGGGUCCCUGAGCGAGAAGCUAGAAAGAGCAGGGAGGGAAAGGGAAGGGAAUCGGGGCCAUGGAAGAGCCACGGAAAAGGGGUGGCAGGAAGCAGUCAGUAUUUACCUUCUGCAAAUUAGCACUUUUAACGCACACGGCCAUGCGUGGCGAGCGGGAGUCCCACGGGAGACACUCGGUUAGAAACACCACGCGUGGUACAGCGUUCUUAGAUUUUGGCACGGUCGCCAAGUCUGAAAUGGCCCGGUGGCUGCCUCUCUCAGCUGGGGGCCCCAGAAUCUCUUCCUGAGAUCCCGGGGCCUCUCCGUUCCCAGAGAAGAGGUCUUGGGGCAAAAGAAAGGGAGGCUGGGGGGCGGGGGGAGAGGGCGCGGCAGUGCAGCAUAGGGCUGGCUGGGUCCCCUGGCCCCUGGGGGUGGUGGUGGCUGCUUUGUCGCCUGCUGGCUGGAGAGCAACCUUGAGCGCGGGCGUGCAGACAGUGAUUUAGGUGCCGGCACUGGAGCGUGAAGAGAGCCCGGCUGGAUGCUGAACUCUCACCUCCGAGUUCCAGCAAGAGGGGGACACCCAGAAGCCCUUCCUGGGAUACUUUCUCCCGACACCCUCUUCUGAAUCUGUCCUUCUGUCUGAGUCCUUGACCGCCUGUCUGGAACUGUCUACAUGGACGCAUCUAUCCGCACAGGGCCAUGAUGAAGGGGAGCAGAUGAUUCCGGUAGUGUCUCCCGACUGUGAUGGAGGAAGCCAGGAUCUCUCACUGAAUCCGGAGCUCCCUAUCUCAGCUAGACCAGAUGGCUGUGAGCCUCCAGGGUCCAUCUGGUUUUGCCCAGCUCUGGGGUUGCAGGCACACUGCCAUGUCUGCCUUUGUGGAUCUGAAUUCAGGUCCUCAUGGUUACACAGCAAGCUCUUCAACCAAUGAGCUAUCUCCUCAGCCCCCAUCAUGCCAGACUUUAAGGUAACCUUCAUCUAGCUCCUCAGCACCUGGAACCCCUGUAGUUUGUUUCUGUGAUAUGGCUCCUCUCUCCAUCCUUUCCCUCCUCACUUCCUUCUCCUGGCCACUAGUUAGUGUCCUACGUCAUACUUGGUUGUAUGAUCUUCAUGCUCCAAAAUCUUAAUGCCUCCUCAGGCCCCUAGGGUACAGUUUAGACUCACCCAGUGUGCUCCGAAGCCCCAAGGCUCUCUGGGCCACAAGCCCGCCUUUCUGCUUGGACACCUCCCGCCUACUUCUGCUCCAGGCUUCUGGAAGAGCAGACUGCGGUGCCAUCACUGUGUCACUCCACCUUCUAAUCAAGACUGCCUGUUAAGGCCCCAAAGAUGCCCGGCCUCUUCAAGAACACAGCUGUGUUCAGUCUUGGGACCCCGGCUGCUCCAGCAGGGGCAGUGGGUAGGGAGCAGGAAGGAAAAACUGGAGGAUACCCACAGCUUUCUGAUUCACUUCCUUCCACACAGGCAGUGUCCUCCUGGGAGGAGGGGCCAGAAACACACACGGAGAACUCUCAGCUACCUCUCCAGCACCAUGUCUGCCUCUGUCCUGCUAAGCUUCCUGCAAUGAUGACAAUGGACUAAACCUCUGAAUCACAAGCCAGGCCCACUGAAAUGCUUUCCUUUAAAGAGUUGCCAUGGUUGUGGUGUCUCUUCAUAGCAGUAAACCCUAAGGCAGACAUCCCCCAACCAGCACAACAUGGGGACAGCCACGGGGUGGCCCACGUCACAGGAUUAUGCUUUAGUCCUAGCCAGGAGCUACUGUUUUGUUUUUUGUUUUUUUUUUUUUUCUUUAACCCUAUUUGAGGUGCUGGGAUUAACCCAUGGCCUUGUACCUCCUAGGCAGGCAUGCCAACACCGAGACAUAGCCCCAGUCCAGGAGCUAUUUUUAGAUAUUUUUCUGAAUAAAACAACACAGCUGGGGACACGCUUUGGAAGGCUGCAUGACCAGUGAGAACUAAACGUUAGCAGUGUGGGCUAUGAAGCAUUGCAAUGUAGCUCAGCUGGUAGAAUAGAGUGCAUGAGGCCCGGUGUAGGUCCCAGCACCACAUGAAAUUGGGUGUGAUUUCCCACAUCUGUAAUUCAAGGUCAUCCUUGGCUACCUAGUGAGUUCUAGGCCUAAUGGGGUACAGGUACUGGAAGACGGUUUAUUGCUUGGGAGUCCUUGCUGCUCUUGCAGAGGAGCUGAGUUCAGUUCCUCACACAGGGUGGCUCACAGCUGCCUGUAACUCUAGCUUCAGGGGAUCUGAUGCCCUCUUCUGGCCUCCUGAGGUACCUGCAUGCAUAUGCGCACACACAUACAAAUAAAAAAUAAAUCUGAGAGAAAGAUAGAGCAAAUUCAGGAACCCAGAAACCCCGAAGAGAGAGAGAAAUAAGAAAGAAAGGACAGGGGUGACUCAGAAUCAACCUUUACCCUAAACCUCUGACCCAUCUCUGAAUGGGUUCCUGUGGCUCCUGAGUUCCAUGUUUUGGAGAUGAGGGAAGGAAGCUCAUAAGGCUAGACAGUGAUGAGUUCGCCGGCUCAUCUCUCUCUCUGAGGUCAGAGUGGCCCGGGUCAUGGUCUUUAGAGGCAUUAGAACUCAGGUGGCAGUUUGGUUUUUGCUUUUUGAUUCUUCCUACCCCCCUGCCAAAGCCUAAAAUGGGAGGAACUGGAGUAGUGGCAGGAGACAGGAGGGGGUGGCCCAGGCACUUGGACUAUUGAUGGUGAAGCCUAUGAUUAAGGACAGUGUUUGCUGCCUCUCUUGCUCUCUGAGUUUUAUGCAGCAGUGUGGGUGGCCCUUUGCUUAGGGACAACCUUUCAACAAAGAAUAACUAUUCUGGUGCUGAGAGGUCAGGCUUGGCCCAACCUAGAAGAAGCAGGCUGCUAUAGAAGUCAGGAGCCUGGGUGCUGAUGCUCAUUUGGUGGAUGGCAAGCCCCUUAACUUCACUGUGUGCCUCGGGUUCUCCAUGGAUGAAGUGUGGGCGCCGAGAGCCCAUUUUGCUCAGAAGGUGCCGUGUGACUGACCUGGGGGGUUAAAUCCACUGUUCCCAUGUGAGCUGGGGGUGAGGCUGGGGCCAGCUACCGUUUGGUGAGAUGAGCCCUCUUGAGUGUGAAGGCGCUCGGGCAGGGACGGGGUCACUGGAGAACUAGAGUAGGGAGAGGGGCUUUCUGGCAAGCAGAGCUGUCAGACCUGCUUCUCAGGACCCUUUGGGAGGAAGAAGCCUUUGCAUCCUCAUUUCCCAUCAGUUGUCUUGGUGCCCAGGUUGGGAAUGUGGCCCAGUUGGUAGGGUGCUUGUCUAGCACACACAAAGCCCUAGGUUUGACACUGAAGGACUGCACAAAACUGGGUUUGGUGGUACGGCUGGGUACGGUGGUACCCAGCACACAGUAGGUAGAGACAAGAAGACCAGAAGUGUGAGGUCACUUAGCAUAUUUAAGGUCAGCCAAGACUACAUGAGAACCUGCCUCCGAAACCAAAACAAGGGCCAGAGAGAUGGCUCAGAGGUUAAGAGCACUGGUUUAGAGCUGCUCUUAAAGAGGUCCUGAGUUCAAUUCCCAGCAACCACAUGGUGGCUCACAACCAUCUAUAAAGAGGUCUGGUGCCCUCUUCUGGCGUGCAGGUGUGCGUACAGACAAAACAUUGUAUACAUAACAAAUA